GAUUUGAUGAAACCAUUGGUCCGUGUUUAUGAUUUUACUUGAUUAUUACAUUACGAUUCAAUUCUGACAAAA